rnacentral:rRNA from 1 species
UACGUAGGGACCAAGCGUUGUUCGGAUUUACUGGGCGUAAAGGGCGCGUAGGCGGCAGUUCAAGUCACUUGUGAAAUCUCCGAGCUUAACUCAGAACGGUCAACUGAUACUGCUUUGCUAGAGUACAGAAGGGGCAAUCGGAAUUCUUGGUGUAGCGGUGAAAUGCGUAGAUAUCAAGAGGAACACCUGAGGUGAAGACGGGUUGCUGGGCUGAUACUGACGCUGAGGUGCGAAAGCGUGGGGAGCAAACAGG